rnacentral:rRNA from 1 species
AAACUUAAAUGAAUUGACGGGGGCCCGCACAAGCAGCGGAGCGUGUGGUUUAAUUCGAUGACACGCGAAGAACCUCACCCAGGUUUGACAUGCAUGUGGUACUGAUGUGAAAGCUGAGGGACCCUUCGGGGAGCAUGCACAGGUGUUGCACGGCCGUCGUCAGCUCGUGCCGUGAGGUGUUGGGUUAAGUCCCGCAACGAGCGCAACCCCUGUCGCCAGUUGUACUUUUCUGGCGAGACUGCCGAGAAAACCUCGGAGGAAGGAGGGGACGAUGUCAGGUCAGCGUGGCCCUUACGCCUGGGGCUACACACACGCUACAAUGGGCAGUACAACGGGUCGCGAAGCCGCGAGGCGGAGCUAAUCCCAUCAAAGCUGUCCUCAGUUCGGAUUGUAGGCUGAAACCCGCCUGCAUGAAGCCGGAGUUGCUAGUAACCGCAGGUCAGCAUUACUGCGGUGAAUACGUUCCCGGGCCUUGUACACACCGCCCGUCACGUCAUGAAAGUUGGUAACACC